GAUAAAAAUACUGAGGUCCAGGAAGGUUGAGUGACUUGCCCAAGAUCACUCAAUUAGAAGGUGGCAUUCAUGAUUUGAACCUAGGUUCCUUGAGUCUAGAGUUAGUUCUCUUUCCAUUAAACCUCAUCACAUACCAGCAUUAGUCAGCAUAGAGACAGGGCAUAGGAAAAAAAAAAUAUAUAUAUAUAUAUAUUUAGCAGAGGUUACAGACUCUUCCAGGCCUCUGCCUCCCCACCACCUUUUUUUAUGAGAGUAAGACAGACAAAGUAAGCCACCAGCUGCUCAUGUGCCAUUUUUUUUUAACCCUUAAUUUCUGUCUUAGAAUCAGUACUAAAUAUUGGCUCCUAGGCAAUAAGGUAGUAAGGGAUAGGCAAUUGGGGUUAAGUAACUUGCCCUGGGUCACACAGCUAGACAGUGCCUGAGAUCAGAUUUGAACCCAAGACCUCCCAUCUCUAGGCUUGGUUCUCUAUCCACUGUGCCACCUAGGUGCCCUCUUCCUGAUCUUCUUAGCUUUCCUCCAUUCUACCAUUCCAUUGUUUAUUUCCUAUGACCUAGACUAGAUAGUCCCUAAAGUCCCUUCCAGCUCUAAUAAAUUAUCAUUCUGAGAUUCCAUCCUGAAGACUUUGUCUGCCAGUGUUUUCUGUAAAUGGGCUAUUUGUGCCCAGUUUGUGAUAGAGCCUUCUGAGCUCACAUCUGAUGAGUCACAAUUGAACACACCGUACAUUGACCUCGACCUAAUGAUGUUAUUUUGGUCCUCUAGACAAUGAAGGACAAAAACUAGUAUCUCUGAGAGAAUAACUAUGAUUGACUUGGCCAACACACAGUUUUAUCAGAUGGUCUUCACCGGUUCAAGAACUCUAGGUUAAGAACUCCUGGACUACAAGACCUCCAAGAUAGCUUUAUGGCACCGUCACAUGUACUUCUCCUCCAUAUGGCUUCCUGUCAUCCUAGCAAAAGCUCCUUUUAGCUGAUGUUCUUCCCAGUGCUGACAACCCAGAAAUGCACUCUCAGACAUUUCCCAUCAUGGAAACUCCAGUUCUAGUCCAGGUUGAUCUGUCAAUGACAGCUCCAGGAGAGAGUAGUACUCAAAAGCUCUCCAAAAAGUGUGUCAUGAUGAUUUUUAUUAUCAUAAUGGCUUUCCACUGACAGUGAUGUUGCUUGUACCAUGAGUACUUAAAAGUAAGUCUCUACCAAUAUCAUAUACCUUUACUGGUCCGCCCUAUCCAGUGUUUAGCAUAGUACCUGGCACAUAGUGGAUGCUUAAUAAGUGUUUAUUAACUAACUGAUUUACUGAGCCCAUCUCCCAUCCUCAGAUUGCUUGUUAAGAAGAUUGGAAAGGCAAUAUGACAUGUAAAUAGAGUGCUAUACCUAGCAGUUAGGAAGACUUGGUUUUAAAUCCUUCUAGAAGCUGUCAGACCAUGGGUCAGUCAUUUCACUUCCAAAUCUCAGUUUCCUCAUUAGUAAAAUGGGAAAAAUAAUGGCUCUAAGUGUCAAUCUCACAGGGUUUCUGAGAGCUGCUCUCCUGAAUUUCACAAACUCUAAGAACUCAUCAUCCUAUCAAAAGAAAUCAACUCAGAAACUCAUACCUCCUCUUCAUCCCUGACUCUAGGGUUCUUUCCUUCCUUUGAAUGGAGAGGGUAGAGGGUGGACAUUGGAGAGCUCCUUCCAGAUCCCCCAUCUUUUAAGGGGGGGGCACCCAGGGAAUUCACCUCAUCUCUGCCCCAGCUGUAAAACUUACUUCAUUAUUCCUCCUUUUCAGCUUCUUUUUGUAGGUUAUCUCUUCCCAUUAGACAGUAAAACGACUACUGUCAAGUAUUUCUUUACAGCUGCAGGGCUUAGCACAGUGCCUGGCACAUAGCAGGGGCUUAAUAAAUGUUUAUUGACUCUGACUGAGCUGGUGUAC
ensembl:lncRNA